rnacentral:rRNA from 1 species
ACUAAUCGAACCAUCUAGUAGCUGGUUCCCUCCGAAGUUUCCCUCAGGAUAGCUGGAGCUCUUUUUUUCAGUUUUGUCAGGUAAAGCGAAUGAUUAGAGGUCUUGGGGCUGAAACAGCCUUAACCUAUUCUCAAACUUUAAAUGGGCAAGGUGGUGGGUGCUUAAUUGACCCGCCGCGUUGAAUGUGAGCUCCAAGUGGGCCAUUUUUGGUAAGCAGAACUGGCGAUGCGGGAUCAACCGAACGUCGAGAUAAGGUGCCCAAGUGUCCGCUCAUCAGACUCCCCAAAAGCUGUUGGUUCAUUUAGACAGCAGGACGGUGGCCAUGGAAGUCGGAACCCGCUAAGGAGUGUGUAACAACUCACCUGCCGAAUGAACUAGCCCUGAAAAUGGAUGGCGCUCAAGCGGACCACCGAUACUCGACCAACGCGCUGAGUGCUUUGGCGCGUUGCGUAGGAGGGCGUGGGGCUCGUGACGCAGCC